rnacentral:lncRNA from 1 species
UUUUUCUCUCGAGUGGUUCCGCCUGACUCCUACCAAGCCCAAGCCAUGGUGGACAUCGUGACAGCACUGGGAUGGAAUUAUGUUUCGACACUGGCUUCUGAGGGGAACUAUGGUGAGAGCGGUGUGGAGGCCUUCACCCAGAUCUCGAGGGAGAUUGGUUAUCCAUCCCUGUUUGGGAUUCAGGGCUGCCUUCAUGAAUGUUUUGCUAUACUAUGUCAAGUUGUUUACCAAUUUCUGCUUCUAAUGCAGCUGUCAGAUGCUCAAACUGUCUAUUAGUCGAAGAGGCUCUCUACUGACCACCUUUCUCAAGUUUCUUCUUCUUACAUACAAUGUUUUUGACAAGACUAAGCAUAUCAAACCAUCUUUUAACAAUUGUAAAGCCUAAUAUUGGCCAGCAUACAAUUCAAUUCAUUAAACAUUGUAGCACUG